rnacentral:rRNA from 1 species
CUGGCUCAGGAUGAACGCUAGCGGCAGGCCUAAUACAUGCAAGUCGAACGGGAUAGGCUCCUCGGGAGGCUGAGAGUGGCGCACGGGUGCGCAACGCGUAUGCAGCCAACCCCCGACGGGCGGAUAGCCGGUGGAAACGCCGGAUAAUACGCCAUGGUUCCCGACCAGGGCAUCCUGGACGGGAUAAAGCCGAGAGGCGGUCGGGGACGGGCAUGCGUCCCAUUAGGUAGUCGGCGGGGUGACGGCCCACCGAGCCUGCGAUGGUAGGGGAUCUGAGAGGACGGUCCCCCACACUGGUACUGAGACACGGACCAGACUCCUGCGGGAGGCAGCAGUAAGGGAUAUUGGUCAAUGGUCGGAAGACUGAACCAGCCAUGCCGCGUGAGGGAAUGAGGCCCUACGGGUCGUGAACCUCUUUUAUUCGGGGACAAGGACGGCCACGUGAUGGCUGUUUGAGGGUACCGAAGGAAUAAGCGUCGGCUAACUCCGUGCCAGCCGCGGC